GAUGAACGCUGGCGGCGUGCCUAAUACAUGCAAGUCGAGCGAACGGACGAGAAGCUUGCUUCUCUGAUGUUAGCGGCGGACGAGUGAGUAACACGUGGAUAACCUACCUAUAAGACUGGGAUAACUUCGGGAAACCGGAGCUAAUACCGGAUAAUAUUUUGAACCGCAUGGUUCAAAAGUGAAAGACGGUCUUGCUGUCACUUAUAGAUGGAUCCGCGCUGCAUUAGCUAGUUGGUAAGGUAACGGCUUACCAAGGCAACGAUGCAUAGCCGACCUGAGAGGGUGAUCGGCCACACUGGAACUGAGACACGGUCCAGACUCCUACGGGAGGCAGCAGUAGGGAAUCUUCCGCAAUGGGCGAAAGCCUGACGGAGCAACGCCGCGUGAGUGAUGAAGGUCUUCGGAUCGUAAAACUCUGCUAUUAGGGAAGAACAUAUGUGUAAGUAACUGUGCACAUCUUGACGGUACCUAAUCAGAAAGCCACGGCUAACUACGUG
rnacentral:rRNA from 1 species